GUAGUCUGNAACCCGACUACAUGAAGCUGGAAUCGCUAGUAAUCGCAGAUCAGAAUGCUGCGGUGAAUACGUUCCCGGGUCUUGUACACACCGCCCGUCACACCAUGGGAGUUGGAAAUGCCCGAAGCCAGUGACCCAACCGUAAGGAGGGAGCUGUCGAAGGUGGAGCCGAUGACUGGGGUGAAGUCGUAACAAGGUAUC
rnacentral:rRNA from 1 species